rnacentral:lncRNA from 1 species
UAUUCUCGUAAAGGAUUUGGACGAGACGUGUACGCUCGAAGACGUCAGAAAGUCGGAAUGGUAUUGCAAAGCGAAUAAGGGAUGAAUCGAGUAAGCGAAGCGAUGUGGCGAAUAGAGUAUAGCUAGAGAUGGUCUAGAGAUUACGAGAUGCAUAGAUUGUGAAAGUGGAAAGAUGAGAAUGAGCUGUGAGACGGGAGUCAGAUUUAAGGCAAGUAUCCUACACCCUGCUUUUGGAUAUAUUGCAUAUUCUGAUCCAUUCUUUUCUAUAUGUGUUGCAAGUAUCCUAAACCUUUCUCUUGGAUAUAUUGCAAAUAUUCUGAUCCAUUCCUUUGGUAUAUGUUUCAAGUAUUCAUACCUUUCUUUUCAAUGUUCGAAAGUGCGAGUAUUCUGACCCAUUCUUUCUAAUCUUCAAGUUUCUAAAGAAUUUCCGUUUUACAAAUUAAUUCGAAGUUCAGAUUGUCAUUGAAGCAUGUGUUGCUCAGUGAUAGUUAGAGCUUUGAAUGAAUUGGGAUCUUCUUGAUUAUUCAACCCGCCAUUGUCAUGCUGGUUUAGCAGGCUAAAUUCAGUUGCUUAGCCGAUAAUGGAGGAUACUGAAU